AGCGAACGCUAGCGGCGGGCUUAACACAUGCAAGUCGAGCGCUUCACUUCGGUGAAGAGCGGCGGACGGGUGAGUAACACGUAGGUUACCUGCCCCUGGGUGAGGGACAACCGAGGGAAACCUCGGCUAAUACCACAUAUGGUCUACGGAUCAAAGGCUUCGGCCGCCCGGGGAUGGGCCUGCGUCCCAUUAUUUAAUCCUAGUUGGCGGGGUAACGGCCCACCAAGGGGUACGAUGGGUAGCUGGUCUGAGAGGAUGAUCCGCCACACUGGAACUGAGACACGGUCCAGACUCCUACGGGAGGCAGCAGUGGGGAAUAUUGCGCAAUGGGCGAAAGCCUGACGCAGCCACGCCGCGUGAGUGAUGAAGGCCCCAGGGUCGUAAAGCUCUGUCGGGGGGGAAGAAGUUCUGACGGUACCCCCCAAGAAAGCACCGGCGAACUCCGUG
rnacentral:rRNA from 1 species